rnacentral:rRNA from 1 species
AACGAACGCUGGCGGCAUGCCUAACACAUGCAAGUCGAACGAAGGCUUCGGCCUUAGUGGCGCAUGGGUGCGUAACGCGUGGGAAUCUGCCCUUUGCUUCGGAAUAACAGUUAGAAAUGACUGCUAAUACCGGAUGAUGUCGCAAGGCCAAAGAUUUAUCGGCAAAGGAUGAGCCCGCGUAGGAUUAGCUAGUUGGUGGGGUAAAGGCCUACCAAGGCGACGAUCCUUAGCUGGUCUGAGAGGAUGAUCAGCCACACUGGGACUGAGACACGGCCCAGACUCCUACGGGAGGCAGCAGUGGGGAAAAUUGGACAAUGGGCGAAAGCCUGAUCCAGCAAUGCCGCGUGAGUGAUGAAGGCCUUAGGGUUGUAAAGCUCUUUUACCCGGGAUGAUAAUGACAGUACCGGGAGAAUAAGCUCCGGCUAACUCCGUG